UUCUACAUCAUGUAGUAACUGAGAGUCAUCAUAAUAGUAAUAGAGCCAUCUAAAUUCAAAAGCUUGACAUUAUCUCAGAUUCUUCUCAACUUCUCACACCAAAUCUUAUGAGGCCCUAAGGCUAUUCUUGUGCUUUAGUCUGAGCACCCGGCAGAAAAACCGAAGACAGAAGGCUCUCCCAUCAGCACGCGGAGAAGAAUGGGGAGGCAGCAACAUGAAAGAAAGUGAUAUGGAAAACGAGCUUUUGGAUUACGACAAAGAGGAAGAGCCCCAGGCUCCUCAAGAGAGCACGCAGGCUACCCCUAAAAAAGACAUCGAGGGAUCCUACAUUUCCAUCCACAGUUCUGGCUUCCAGUACUUUCUGCUGAAGCCAGAGCUCCUUCAGGCCAUCGUGGACUGUGGCUUUGAGUAUCCAUCUGAGGUCCAGCACGAGUGCAUUCCCCAGGCCAUCCUGGGCAUGAACGUCCUGUGCCAGGCCAAGCCUCAGAUGGGCAAGACGCUGGCCACCCUGCAGCAGAUCGAGCCCAUCGACAGACAGGUUUCGGUCCUGGUCAUGUGCCACAAGAGGGAGCUGGCCUUCCAGAUCAGCAAGGAAUAUGAGCACUUCUCCAAGUACAUGUCCAGCGUCAAGUUGUCUAUGUUCUUCAGGGGCCUCUCCAUCAAGAAGCAUGAAGAAGUAUUGAAGAAGAACUGUCCGCAUGUUGUGGUGGGGACCCCAGGCCACAUCCUGGUGUCUGGGCCAAACAGGAGCUUCAGCCAAAAGAACACGAAGCCCUUUGUGCUGGAAGAGUGCGACAAGAUGCUGGAGCAGCUAGACAUGCGGCGGGAGGUGCAGGAGAUCUUCGGCCUGACGCCGCGCGAGAAGCCGUGCAGGAUGUUCAGCACCACCCUGAGCAAGGACAUCGGGCCUGUGUGCAAGAAGUUUAUGCAGGGUCCCAUGGAGGUGUUUGUGGAUGACGAGACCAAGCUCACCCUGCACGGACUGCAGCAGUACUGCCUCAAACUCAGACACUGAGAAGACCCGCAAGCUCUUCGAACUCCUGGACGUGCUGAAGUUUAACCAGGUGAUAAUCCAUCAAGUCAGCGCAACGCUGCAUGACCCUGGCCCAGCACCUUGUGGAACAGAAAGAACUUCCUGGCCUUCACAAUCCAGUGGGACAUGGCCCAGGAGGGGGCCUGUCACUCUAUCAGCAGUUCAAGGUUCCAACUGUGGAUCCUGGUGGCCACCAAUCUCUUUGGCCGAGGGAUAGAUACUGAGCGAUUCAACCAACAUCGCCUUUACGACAUGCCUGAGGACUUAGACACCUACCUGCACCGCAUGGCCCGGCGGGUCGCUUUGGCACCAAAGGGCUAGCCAUCACUUUUGUGUUUGACGAGAAUGAUGCCAAAAUCAUCAAUGACAUCCAGGACUAGUUUAAAGUUAUUGUGCAGAGCUUCCAGAGGAAAUUGACAUCUCCACGUACAUUAAGCAGAGCCGGUAACCACCAUGUGCCCCGCCAGUCCAGAGCUGCCAACCCGGAGCCUCCUGCAUGCAGCUUCACCUCUCCUUUCCA